rnacentral:rRNA from 1 species
GUUUAUGGCCAUGCUACCCUGAACAAGGCCGAUGUUUGAUCUCAGAAGCUAAGCAGGAUCAGGCCUGGUUAGUACUUGGAUGGGAUAGCACCUAGGAGGACCAGGUGCUGUAGGCA